rnacentral:rRNA from 1 species
GCCUUACAACAAUCUACAAAGUUUGACCUCAAAUCAGGUAGGAAUACCCGCUGAACUUAAGCAUAUCAAUAAGCGGAGGAAAAGAAACCAACAGGGAUUGCCUUAGUAACGGCGAGUGAAGCGGCAAAAGCUCAAAUUUGAAAUCUGGCGUCUUCGGCGUCCGAGUUGUAAUUUGAAGAAGGCUACUUUGGAGCUGGAGUUUGUCUAAGUUCCUUGGAACAGGACGUCACAGAGGGUGAGAAUCCCGUGAGAUAAGCUUCCCAGUUCUAUGUAAAGUGCUUUCGAAGAGUCGAGUUGUUUGGGAAUGCAGCUCUAAGUGGGUGGUAAAUUCCAUCUAAAGCUAAAUAUUGGCGAGAGACCGAUAGCGAACAAGUACAGUGAUGGAAAGAUGAAAAGAACUUUGAAAAGAGAGUGAAAAAGUACGUGAAAUUGUUGAAAGGGAAGGGCUUGAGAUCAGACAUGGUAUUUUGUAAACCUUCUCUCUCGUGGAGGGGGCCCCUUGCAGUUUACUGGGCCAGCAUCAGUUUGGGCGGUAGGAUAAUGACUAAGGAAUGUGACUUGCCUUCGGGGAAGUGUUAUAGCCUUGGUUGAUACUGCCAGCCUAGACUGAGGACCGCGUCUUUGACAAGGAUGUUGGCAUAAUGAUCUUAAGCCACCCGUCUUGAAACACGGA